rnacentral:rRNA from 1 species
UACAGAGGGUGCGAACGUUGCUCGGAAUUACUGGGCGUAAAGCGCGUGUAGGCGGCUCUUCAAGUCGAGUGUGAAAGCUCCAGGCUUAACCUGGGAAUUGCGCUCGAUACUGUUGAGCUAGAGUGUGGAAGGGGCUACUGGAAUUCCGUGUGUAGCGGUGAAAUGCGUAGAUAUACAGAGGAACACCUGCGGCGAAGGCGGGUAGCUGGGCUGAUACUGACGCUGAGGCGCGAAAGCCAGGGGAGCGAACGGG